rnacentral:snRNA from 1 species
GGAGGGCAAUCUGGCUGCAACACCUGUCACCCCAUUGAUCUCCAGGAUUGAUUCAGUUGACCUGGCUGGGUAGAGGAUAUCCACUUCCUCCUUCACCACUCCCAGCUGCAGACAUGGUUGAAGAGGACAACCAUCCCCAAUAGAAGAGGACUGGUCUUCGGUCAAGGGUACAACCAGUAGCUGGACUCCCCUGAUAGAUCCUCCAAACAAGCUCUUUUAUGCUUUGAGUUUUUAAAUGUUAUUUCUUAAGUAUAGUGUAUUAUGUUAGUUAAAGUAGUUAGAAACUCAUAGGAAUAUAUUUAACAAAAAAUGUUAAUGGCUUGCAUUGGCAGCAUCUUUAUUUA